rnacentral:rRNA from 1 species
GAUUCCCCUAGUAACGGCGAGUGAAGCGGGAAGAGCUCAAAUUUGUAAUCUGGCUGUUUUACAGUCCGAGUUGUAAUCUCAAGAAGUGUUAUCCGCGCUGGACCGUGCAUGAGUCUGUUGGAAUAUAGCGUCAUAGAGGGUGAGAAUCCCGUUCAUGGUGCGGACUCCCAGUGCUUUGUGUUACACUUUCUAAGAGUCGAGUUGUUUGGGAAUGCAGCUCAAAUUGGGUGGUAAAUUCCAUCUAAAGCUAAAUAUUGGCGGGAGACCGAUAGCGAACAAGUACCGUGAGGGAAAGAUGAAAAGCACUUUGGAAAGAGAGUCAAACAGUACGUGAAAUUGUUGAAAGGGAAACGAUUGAAGUCAGACAUGCUUGCGGGGUUCAGCCUUCGGGUGUACUCUUCCGCAUUGCAGGCUAGCAUCAGUUUUGGGGGCCGGAUAAGGGUUUGGGGAAGGUGGCAUCUUCGGGUGUGUUAUAGCCCCAUUCUGGAUACGGUCUCUGGGACUGAGGAUCGCAGCGCGCCCUUGUGGCAUUGGCUUCGGCCUUUUCGCGCUUAGGAUGCUGGCGUAAUGGCUUUAAACGACCCGUCUUGAAACACGGACCAAGGAGUCUAACAUGCUCGCGAGUGUUUGGGUGUUAAACCCGGGCGCGUAAUGAAAGUGAAUGUAGGUGGGAUCCGCAAGGUGCACCAUCGACCGAUCUGGAUUUUCUAUGAUGGAUUUGAGUAAAGAGCGCGUAUGUUGGGACCCGAAAGAUGGUGAACUAUGCCUGAAUAGGGCGAAGCCAGAGGAAACUCUGGUGGAGGCUCGNANCGGUUCUGACGUGCAA